rnacentral:rRNA from 1 species
GACGAACGCUGGCGGCGUGCCUAAUACAUGCAAGUAGGACGCAGUUGCGAACGGGGGAGUAACGCGUAGGUAACUACCUAUUAGAGGGGGAUAACUAUUGGAAACGAUAGCUAAUACCGCAUACUAGUAGAUGGACCUGCGUUGUAUUAGCUAGUAGGUAGGGUAAGGGCCUACCUAGGCAACGAUACAUAGCCGACCUGAGAGGGUGAUCGGCCAAACGGGGACUGGGACACGGGCCAGACUCCUACGGGAGGCAGCCGUAGGGGAUCUGCGGCAAUGGGGGGAACCCUGCCCGAGCAACGCCGCGGGAGUGAAGAAGUGUUUCGGAUCGUAAAGCUCUGUUGUUAAGGAAGCGGUACUUAACCAGAAAGGGACGGCUAACUACGUGCCAGCAGCCGCGGUAAUAC